UGGGGAAUAUUGCACAAUGGUGGGAACUCUGAUGCAGCGACGCCGCGUGAACGAAGAAGGCUUUCGAGUCGUAAAGUUCUUUUAUAUGGGAAGAUAAUGACGGUACCAUAAGAAAAAGCCCCGGCUAACUACGUGCCAGCAGCCGCGGUAAUACGUAGGGGGCUAGCGUUGUCCGGAAUCACUGGGCGUAAAGGGUUCGCAGGCGGAAAUGCAAGUCAGGUGUAAAAGGCAGUAGCUUAACUACUGUAAGCAUUUGAAACUGCAUAUCUUGAGAAGAGUAGAGGUAAGUGGAAUUUUUAGUGUAGCGGUGAAAUGCGUAGAUAUUAAAAAGAAUACCGGUGGCGAAGGCGACUUACUGGGCUCAUUCUGACGCUGAGGAACGAAAGCGGGGGUAGCAAACAGG
rnacentral:rRNA from 1 species